rnacentral:lncRNA from 1 species
UUUUUUUCUGGGAUGUCAAUAGCUAGAUAACCUGGUUCUCCCCAAAUAGCUAAUUUUUAUGCAUGAAAGGUCCCUUGCUCCUACUCCAACCUCACUCCUAUGUUUUCCCUGAAACAGGUGUGUGUGUGUGUGUGUGUGUGUGUGUGUGUGUAUACACAUAUAUCUUCUGGGUUUUAUGUGCUAUUUGAGGAGUGCUCUGUACUCAGAGCAGAGAACGGUGUCCAGUUGGCCAUUUCGAGGUGUGCAUUUCAUCUCCUUACGUCAUCUGUGGCAUUAGGACCUGCCACUUCAGUAGGGCACACUGUGGGCUCUCCAUCGCCACAGCUCCUGCCCUGCCUUAUCAGCUCCUGUGCCUUCCAAUUCCUUCACAGUGAUUGGAACGCGUCAGGAUCGGGAGCGGGAGUAAAAAACACAUGUUCAGUUUAUCGUAUUAAAUUGCAAGCUUUUAAGUAUAUUUCUAAAAACUAUAAAAACCAUUCCUAAUUUUUUUAAGGAAAUACCUUUCUAAAUCACUAUAGGAAACAUAAGAAAAAAAGGAAGUUGCAAACAAAUAAUAAAAACAGGAAAAAAGAUAAAAGAACAGCUCAAUAUAGCAGCUAUUGGGGGAACUGCAGCCCACUUAUUCAAUGGCAAAGUCUGUUUAUCAUGUUGUUAAAGACAACCAAACAAAUGACACCUGAAUCCUCGAGAGGGCUGGGAAAUGCUGGAUGGAUUUGCCAAUGAUAGCAGCAGUGUGGUGGUAUUCUCAUCAAAUUCGGAGCCCAGGCGAGCAGCAUUCAGCAGGAAGAUGAUCUUAUAUUGGUAAGGGAUACAUAGAAAGUUUUGCAGAAUGCCAGCCUCAAAACACAAAGCAGAAACUCUUAGAAAUACAAGGAAAAUUUGACAUGGAAGAAAAAUAAGGUUGCAGAGAGUUUUAACAAUAUGAUCACUAUCCCUGAACUAACAAACCACAGAACAAACAGCAGCAACUUUAGAAAAUGGCCUUGUCAUCAUCAUAAAAGGCUUGAGGCUACAGAAGGAAACUGCAAAUCCAUGGAGGAGAGACUUCACAGCAGACAGGCUCUACUAUAUUCACAGGUGUGAAAAAGAACUAAAAAGCUUUUCAAUGAAAUCCCCCAAAUGGUUGAAAAGUAAAAAGCACCCAAGUAAAAAUUAAUAUCCUAGAACACUGAGAUCAAAGCAAACCUGGGAAGAACAGCUAGAGACCGCUUAGGAUCAUAAUUUGAGGAAGGUCAUUAAACUCCAGGAAAUGCAGUCAGUGUCCCUUAGCAAAGCAUACAACCUUAAAAGCUGAAAAUAUACCUGUUAAGAAAGCAGCUGAAUGAGGCACUCCUCCUAAGCAGUUAGGAGUACAAUGAAAAGAUC